AUACUUAUCUAGCAGAAAAGAGAUACCAUGAUGAUGAAGAUGGUUUCCCCAAAUCUAAGUUAUACAUUGCACUCCCAAUGUGCUGAUCCUAAGAUCUCCUCAAAUAUGAGAAUCCCUACUGCAUAGUUUGUAAAAGUGGAGACUGUAUUUUUUCUCUCCC
rnacentral:snRNA from 1 species